ensembl:lncRNA
UCAGGCUGCUAUAAGCCUGGUUCACUGGAUUAUGAGACUUAAAGAUAUCGUAUAAGGGAACAGAGUUUUAUUUUGAGCAAAAGCUUGGAUUCUUGCAGAAGAGUUGACUUCAAAAAAAAACAGCAAACAAAAGCAAGCGUUCUGAAGUUUCCCUGCUUUCUGGAGAGAGAACGACGUGCCUUUUUGCAGGCAUUUCUCUGAAUCAGUUUUAUUGACACGGAUGUUUUCAGGCAUAGUAAGUUCCAAGCAAAUGUUGUCGAAUGUUUAUAUAAAUCAUUUUUAGACCACGUAAUUAUGUCUGUAGUGCAGAAAUCUAACCCUAAGCAAUACCCGUCACUCAGACAAGAUAAUCUUUUCUAUUGUGGAACUCAAACUCAGGUGGGGCUCCUUCAGCUCCCACUUACAAAACCAGAAUGAAUUGCUGGGGAGUAAAGACUGGAGAAAGUGCAAACUGACUGCACAGAAUGAGGGGACAGGGGGUAAAAAUAAAACAAAGGGCAUCUGAUGAAUUAUUCUCUGAGAAUUAUUAUGUAGGAAUGACAUUUCUGAAACAGACAGAUACCGUAUUAUCCAGCUGUCAGCGAAGGGCUGAAAGAUGCUGGGGGAGCUGUGAUAGUCGUUGCAAGAAGGCGCUAGUCAGCUUGUCAAGUGUUAGGAAAGGGGAAAUUGGUGGUGAGAGGAGAUAAUACAAGAGGUAAGCAGAGAUAAAUCUGAAAGAUGUCAGACUGAGGCAGAGCCAAUUGAUGCCAGGUACUGCCAAGCCAGAGCAGAAAGCUUACUUGGGUCUCAGCAUGUAAGAACAACACACACCCACAACUUAAACAUUGACAUGAACAAUUUACCCCCUAGAACAAAAAGGUACUCUAAUGAAAUUAACAACAACAACAAAAAUGAGGAGAAGACAGAGGGGAUGUAAGCAGUGUCUGAAAAUAUUUAGUGAAUUCAUCACACUCAAGGGUGUGAUGCACAGCAAAAAGGUUUCUGUAGUGGCUAGCUCAGGGAAUGCUGUCAUUUCUUCUGCCUUCUAAGCCUAUCUGAAGUUAAAAAGCUGCCUGGGGUUACUGGGUCUGAGCCAUGAAUUUUCUCAGGGAAGCAAAUAUAUUGAUUAAAAUGUCAUGUCUCAAAGCUUUCCUGCUUACCCAGUUGGGCUAACAACAUUCAUUAUCUUUCCUUACAAACUUUGCCUCACUAGCAUGCAAAACAUCUGUUCCUUAUUUGUUUGUUUAUUUUUUUCUUUCUUUGUGGUGAUAUUUUAACCUUUUCAUAAUGAUUUUUUUUUUCCUCCUCAGGAACUCUGGUAGCAACGUCAGAACAUAUUUAUUCUAUGUCCUGAGAUGAGAUGAUGAAAGGGAGGAGGGAUACGUAACAACUACUGGGAAAAUGAUUCAAGAAACAAAACAGAAGUGGCCAGCACGACUGUUUCUAGUUGCUGUAGAGCAUCUCCUCCUUUCCUGCUUUCAGCCACAGCCUUCCUGUCCCACCCCUCCCGAGCUCACUGUGGAGGUGCCAGAAUCGUAGAAUAGAAUCAUAGAAUCACCACGGUUGGAAAAGACCUCCGAGAUCAUCUCCGAGUCCAACCAACCACCUACCGCCAAUAUUGCCCACUAACCAUGUCCCCCAGUGCCACAUCCACGUGUUUCUUGAUAGCCUCCAGGGAAUAACUGUAUUUGUAUCACCUUGGGGGUGCCAUGACACUUGGGGUGCAGUCCUCCUUGCAGGUAUCUGCCUGCAUCAGCUGAUACCACUUUGCUAGAACAUCUGCCUUCUGUGCAACAGGAGGAGCAGAGCCAGCAUGGGUGACCCAGCAGUGUCUGGGGCGUACCAGCAUACCCUUAUGUGCAGUGCAGAGGUGGGAUGUGUAAAGUGUGUCCUACGUUGAGCCAAGUCACUUCUAUGUGUCUUUUAUUUUUUCCCCACCAGGUCAGAUGUGGACCUUCUGGAAAUGCAGGAGGACCAAAAGCCACUGGGAGUAGGAAUUCCUAUCUAGAAGAAAAGACAUAGUGGAGAACUUCCAAGCUAUCUGCUGGCAGAUGCUGCUUCUGCUUCCUUAUGGAAAGACAGUAUCUUUGUUCCACCCAAUUAAAUAGAUACGGAAAGCCCUUCUGAGCUGAGCCUAGUAUGAUGUCCUGGAAGUCUUGCUUCACUGCAAAUUGGAGCCUUCAUUUGCACUCAGGAGUCUUGAGUCUCAGUUGAGGAUGACUAUGGCCUGUCUUAUGUGUGUUCAGACUGUGUUCCAGAUGAUCCCGUACCUCCAUCAGAAUCUCUCCCAUUGGCUCAGUCUGCAUCUGUACUGCAAGACAAAAGUUCAGAACUGGGUGCCAUUUGAAGCAUGUCUGUGCUCUUCUUUCACCUUCGCAGUUCAAUGCAAACUCAGACAUUGCCUAUAGGGUUUCAGUAUGUCUUUAAAACCAGGAACUUCCCGUGCAUAUGCAGACAGAUGUGAAACUGAGGUAGCUUUCAUAUAGCAUCAAACCAAAACCAGCAUUAUUCUUCUGAUUUAUGAGCUCAUUUCUAACCCUACUUGGAAAGCAACAACUAAUGCUCAUUCAGGAGGACAAGGAAGCAGAUCGUAUAAGCACGUGACAAGUUCACCUGCUUCUACUUGUAACAUUACUUGCAAAAUGAGCUUCAGAAUCACAUAGGCUGUGUUUAUAUAAGGGUAAAAAGUAUGGUUGCAAGAUGUAGCUUUGAUUUUGUAUGCAUACAGUGCUCAAGCUAUUGGCACAGGCAAUCUCACUGGUAGUGUGACUAAAACUUGUGCUGAUGUUUUGCAUUCAUACAUGUAUAUGCAUUUCUUCUUAAUUUCUUGUGAGAGGUCUGCUUCUUACAGAGGUCAACAUAACCCUAGUUUUCAAGGCUGUCCUGUCUUGCUUCUUUUGUUAUUACAUUACAGCUUUACAGUUGUGUGUGUAUGCUCUGUUUUCUAUUUCUUUCUUCUCUUCUACCCAGUAAAAGCAAUCCAGGAGGAGAAAAAAGCAUUUCUGUCAUGUUAUAACCUGUGGGAAGAAAUGCAUGACCUGUCUUGCCCAGCACCUAGCUGCUGUGGUAAAAGCAGACUUAGUCAUUAACUGCAGAGUGCCUGACAAUUUCUUCCAGUAGAAUAACACCAUACCUUGUAAAGAGACCCCUACUUUCCUCUCUGGGAAACAGCUGUAAAGCAUGACCUUGAGCAUAGCUGUACUGGCACUUGUUAACCUGCUCCAUAAAGAGGUCCCUUAAUUCUCAAAAAUCUUGUCAGACAUCUUCUAGAAUUUGGGGAUUAUAAAUUAAGACUGGGAAGGGAAAGAAAAAAAAAAAAACCUACAGAAAUUUACACUAGGGAAAGAAUGUCUUAACCCUAAUCUAUUCUUCAUGAUGCUGGAGAUCCAUGAGGUUUGUCUUUACCCAUCACUGUCCUUGGCCACAUAGGAGAUGCUCACAAAAUGGCACUUAUUUGGUCCUUAAGAUGUAUUUGUCUCACUGCUCAUCAACACUCCUUUGGGGAAAAAACCUCUCCCAUUGCUGAAAAGCUCUGCAAUCAAAUAUAUGUACUUUAUCACAGCAAUGGCAGAGAAAAUGCACUUCCUGCCUCCAUUCUACAUCAGGAUGCUGAUUGUUGGCUAACCGCCCUCACCAUCAAUUUGGGGUCCUAAUUUUAUAAGGUUCUGAUGGCUCUUUGUUCUACUGGGAAGUACUGUGGUUUCCUUUCUCUUCUUCUACAGUCACCUCCAAUUGCUCGUAAGGUACUUAAAAAAUGCAAGGUGUGGCAAUAAUUACUGAUACCUGUUUGAAAAUGUAACAAUAUAC